CUCCUCUCAGGAUUGCACCUGGAGAGUUUCCAGUACUCUACCAGUUUCGACUAUUCACGGGGGAAGUCAAGCAGAGACAUACUGAUUCCAUUCCUAGCUUGGGCAGUGGCUAGUGAGUGGAAGGCAAUCUGCUACAAGU